UGAAAGCCAAAGUAUUCAUAUUUCUUAAAAUAGCCCUAAAGGUGCUUUUUUUCACAAUGUGAUCAGAUAAUCUCUUUCUUUUAAAAAUUGGUACCUGAGCUAACAUGUGUUGCUAAGCUGUUUUUUUUUCCUUCUUCUUCUUCCCAAAGCCCCCCAGUACAUAGUUGCAUAUUCUAGUCAUAGGUCCUUCUGGUUGUGCUUUGUGGAACUCUGCCCCAGCAUGGCUUGAUGAGUGGUGCCAUGUCCUUGGCCAGGAUCCACACUGAUGAAACCUUGGGCCACUGAAGCUGAAUGUGUGAACUUAACCACUCGACCACGAGGUGGCCCCUCAAAGAUCCCAUAUGUUACCAGGUUCUAUUUGAUACUUAGUGAAUCCAUCAGGUCCAGGUAUUCUCAUUGGAGCUGGAUGAUUUCCAUGGAGGUGCUACCCAAAAGUCCAUCCCCCAGGCUUUUCAUGUUUUUUUACUACUCAGGUAUUUUAAAUAUGCUUAUACUACACAAAGAGUCAUGAUUUGUUCUCUAGCAGAAUAUCAGCCUACUUUUGAAGUUAUUUUUGAGUGAUUUAGAGUCUGCUGAAAUGCAAAGCUUGGCGAGUUUUCUCAAUCUCAUUCUUGAAAGGUAGUUACUUUAAAUGGAAGAUUCCUGAAGGCAGAGCUUUUUGUCUGAAUUCCUAGUGCCUAGAUGAAUGCUUCAUACAUAGUAAGUGCUUAAUACAUAUUUGACGAAGGCGUGUGUUGAUGAAUUCCAAGUCAAUCAAAUGGGUAAAUUGGGGAAAGGUAACAAGGAAAUAGGGCAAGAAAGAUAUAUUAGGAAGAGAGAGUGGCAUCUGCAAAACUUGGUAGUCAAAGAGGCACUGUGUCAUGACAGCCAUCAAGUCUUUUUUCUCAAAAAUUGUCUCCCUGGAAAGACAAACUACACUGUAGUGAAUGCCUGGCUGUCCAUUCAUGUCUGGAAACAAAUGCACAGCAAAGUUUCAAUGUGUUUCUACCAUCACUCAUAACACGUCAUAUAUUACCAGAUCAUAGGAAUUGCC
rnacentral:lncRNA from 1 species